rnacentral:rRNA from 1 species
UACGAAGGGGGCUAGCGUUGCUCGGAAUCACUGGGCGUAAAGGGCGCGUAGGCGGGCUCUUAAGUCGGGGGUGAAAUCCUGGAGCUCAACUCCAGAACUGCCUUUGAUACUGAGGGUCUUGAGUCCGGGAGAGGUGAGUGGAACUGCGAGUGUAGAGGUGAAAUUCGUAGAUAUUCGCAAGAACACCAGUGGCGAAGGCGGCUCACUGGCCCGGUACUGACGCUGAGGCACGAAAGCGUGGGGAGCAAACAGG